rnacentral:sRNA from 1 species
AACCCCCAGCUAGGCUGGGGGUUCCGGAAAGCUUUCAGCUAUGAGUCAGUUAUAAAAAAACCUUUUGAUUUGUUAAAACAACUGCGGUCUGGCAACUGCAAGAGAGAAACAAAAAAUCAAAAG